UUGAUGUUGGGUUUAUUUGAAAGGGUGAAAAAAUGCCGAACAAUAUAAAUUGCUAUCUUAGACUUGCAUUACUGGUGCUAAUUUUUACAACCUUUGAAAACCAAUUUUUAGAGGCAUUUUUCAGUACAACCUGGAAAAUUGGACAAAUUAUCUAUUAUAUUAUAGAAUGAAUAUAUAUAGAAGUUUAUUCUCUUGAAAACCAUCUAAUUGUCUACGUAAAACAAGCUUAACAUUUUAUCUUAACCUUUUCUUAAUAACCCAAAAUUUAUUUUGAAAAUGGUAACAGGAUAGACAAAAUAAUGUACUACCGAUCAAAAAAUGUUAUAACAUAUUCUUGUAUGACAUCAUUAAGAUUGCAUCUUUUAAUAUGUUGUUCUUAAAGUACUGUUUGUUAUGAUUUGCUUAUGUAGAGGGUUGUUUGAAUAAGUAACUUUUAAUAAUUUUUUCAAUUUCAAAAUUCGACAUUUUUUGAAAAUGACCCAUAUAUCUACUGGUAUAAUAGGCAUAAUAAUUAUAAAAAUGGUGAGUGUGUGUGUUUUUAAAUUGACAUAUCUUUUUUUUUAAAUAUUUAAACCAACUGUUUCAAUUUUGUUUCUGGGGUAAAGAUGGCAAAAAGUACAAACUAAUCCCCAUAACCACUGGUUGGUAAGUUAUAUUUCAACCCAAUUCUUCCGGAGUAUUAUGAGUACACAAAAAAUAGUGCAGUGAUGUGUUUUUACUUUAAUUUGUAUUAUAUUCAUGCCCAUGUCAUGCAAUUGAUUAAUAAUGUAUGCUUAGUUAUCCAAGUUACAAAGUUGUGUGUGUGUGUAAAUGUAUUAUCGAGAAAACCUAAUUAUUAAAAGUUGCAUAAGUCGUGGUAACUGACUCAAUCUGUCCUGCCAACAGUAUUAUGGACAAAGGGAAAUAAUUCAUUUAGAAUAUUGCUUAAAUGUAUUUCUUGCAUUAUUAUUAUUCCUCAAAUUAAAGUUACCCCUUCCACCCUUUCAAUACUCACGAGCUUUUUGAAUGUAUUAUACUGUACAACAGAGUAAAAAAGUAAUAGACCACUUUUUAAUGGUCAAGGUUAAACAGAAAUAAUUGUUUUCAAAAAAAGUUGAAAUAUGAGAAGUACCUUUAUUAAAAUAUUGAAUUUACUGUGGAUUCAGAAAUGAAUAUUAUUAGUUGUUUAGAACAGAGUCAUAGAGAUUUGAGAAAGGCUGGGACUCAUCAUAUUUAUUUAUAUUGAUUUUUACAUGAUUUAGAAAGCAUUUCUCAUGAGGAAAUAAGACUUUCUUUGCUUUUUUGGAGCUUAAUUUAUACAAUAAAGGACUUGUAAUAGUUGAGUUCAGUCCUCCUUUUAAAUAUCUUUAAGGCAUUUUUUAUGUGCCAUAAUCAUGAUUGAGGUUUUUAUAUGUAAUUAUUACCAAUAAUUUAUUUGUAAGACUUUUUAAAGGUUGAUGGGGAAAUAAAAGGGAACCACAUCUGAUAAUGCAAAUAAUUAUCCAGAAUAGCAUUAGUGCUAAAAGUAGAUAAUUAAAGGUUGUUUAAAUCCUUAUUGCACAUUUAAUGUGUUCUAUUGUGCUUUCUUUAUAUCAUUGUUUAUGAUCAAAUCUUUAUUAUGUUUUAUUAUAUGCUUGUUUUAUAAUACAAUAAAUGUAUUCAAAUGAUUC
rnacentral:lncRNA from 1 species